CACACUAAGUUUAAGCAUAUAAAUAAGUAGAGAAAAAUAAGCUUACAAGGAUUUCACUAGUAACUACAAGCAAAUUAGGAGCAACCCAGUCUUAGGAUUGGGCAACACCAUCAUUUGAAUUAUUGUCUGAAAAAGCUUUCUUAGCAACUGACCAAACUCUAUUUAAUUAAAAGGGGGUGCCAUAGAGGAUGAUAGCCACAUUGUGAUCAAAACCUAUUUCAUCAUAAGACAUUAUAUAUAUGUUAGGUUGAUUGGAAAUGUAGCCUAAAUCAAGCAAUGAAUACUAUCAAGGGCUAAAUAUGUGAAAUGUCGAUAGCAAACAACAACCACAAAGGAAAGUUGAAAAGAAAUUUGAAAAAAAAGCCAAAGAGUGAUUGAAAUUAUUGGGAGUGAAGGAGAUAGAGGCCUUGAAUUCACCCUGGUUAGAUGUGAAAUAUGAUGGGCCGUUCUGUUGGUCGAUUCGGGGGUGGACCAAUAUGGAUUAAAUAGGCAUACAAAGAUCGAGUCAUGGAAUAAUCUUAAUUAUGGUAGACAAUGAGCGCUUCUUUCAUGCUUUGAAAUCUAUAAGAUCUAGACGUUAUCUGGAGGAUCUCCACUCAACUUGCCAUGAAAAUGG
rnacentral:ncRNA from 1 species